ACUCGAGAAUCCCGAAUGUUCUCGGGAAUCCCGGACAUUUCACGGGAAUCCCGAAUAUUUUCGGGAAUCCCGCGCACCCUUAGUGUUCUCUGAACGCCCGUAGGCGUUCACCGCGCGUGGCGCAUUGAUCGAACGCUUACAGGCGUCCGACAGCACUCAAAGGAUUAACCAGCUCGAUCGAUUCUCAGGAUGAGGUCUUAAUUUCGUCAUUUCGAUUCGUUCCGUUUUGGAAAACCAAAACAGAAACAAACCGGUCUACCAAUCAAUGAACCGAGUUAAUCGAGACGAGACCAAGCCCCCUCAUACGGCGUUGCAGUCCAUGAAGAGAGUUCUGCAGUCUUGUCCUGUGCGGCCGCGUCGACCUGCCUCGUAGAGCGCCUCGAAACCUACGCCGCUCUGCCUCUGGAGAAUGUAGCUGGUAGCGUAUCUGGAGGAAUAACACACAAAUUUUAAAAUAACACGGUCACAUAUUUGGUAACUUGGAAGUAUGAAUCUGUUAGGUUUAGUUGGUCUUCCGCAACCAGUACCCUAGUGGAACAUACGUGUCCCAGUGAAUAUAUCUGGUUGCCAUUGUCCAAAUAACAGUCGAGACUCACAGGAACACGUGUUUAAAAAAAAUGAAUAUUAUUUACGCUGGGGCAAAUCGUCCCUUCUUAUCUAACUACGAUCUUUGAUUUAUAGCAAACCCUAGCUCGAUACAAUUAAUUUGUAAAAGAAAAACGAACAGAAUUCAAAUAGAAACCAGACACGUCGAAAGGGUUGACACACCUAACAAUGUGUAUUAUAAUGACUGAACCGAAAAUUCCUAAUUUGUAAUUUAUAGUAUAGUAUUUAUAGCAGUCGCUACUCGCUUCUGUUGUCGAAGCAAUUUUAAUAAUUUAAUAAUAACUUAUUAACCCUUUGCACUCGAGAGGUGACUCUCAGUCACCACUAGGUUUCCUUUAGGUUUAACUUCGUUGGAACUCGAAGUGUCAAUAAAAUGAUUGUCGUUGAGGCAAAGGCGACCUGACUUUCAGAUCUCAAAUUAGAGAUCUCAUUCGAGAAGUCAAUCUAAGCUUAGCAUUCGUGACAAUAGAAUGCUAAGAAAGCAUCUAGAGUUGCUGAUAGAUGCCAGACAAAAAGGCCUCGAGUGCAAAGGGUUAAACAUGGGUACCGAGGUCUACGCUACUCACAACGCCUGCUUUUCUUGAACGGCAACUUUAAAUAAACGUAUUUAAAAAAAAGAGAAAGGAAACACUUACGAUCCAAGUUGACAAAAGAUGGACGACGUGCCUUGGGCAUCCGUAACGCACUCGGCGCUCGCCUCGCAGAGAGCUCUCUCAGCGCAACCUCGCUGACCCUCGUCCUCGGCACGACCCACGUUACCGAAGGUCUUCAGCGACCUCAUGUAACCCUAAAUCCGAAAUUUAUUUCGUUUGCAAUCUAAUUAGAACCAACACGAUCGCAACAUAAAGUGUCCCAUGAAUUUGCAAUCACGUAAAUUGAUGCAUAUAAAUGGAAAAAUUUAAAUAUAUUCGUUAUUCAUGCUCGUGUGGGACAAAGUUACAUUAUCUCACGAGGGACAUGUAACCAGACAUUUUUGUCGGUUUUAGGGUUUCUGUAGUAUAUCUGUUGGCAACUGAACCAUAUAUUAUGUUCUAUAUUUUUUAUAUAUAUAGAAAGAUAACAAAUUUGGCCACCAAGGAAUGUACUGUUGUGUUUAUGCAAUCUCGGAAUAUUUAGUAUGGCCCUGAAACCUCGUCAAAGAAAAGGUCUUGGAUAAGUUUCGUUUGUGUUGUUGCAUGUAUUCCUCGAAACAGCGUAAACGUGCCCUAUGAAAUUGUUUCGUACAAGUAUAAAUAACGAAAUAUUUACCUUGAGCAUGGUGAUAGAUGCGACAGCAGCCUCCGAAACCGUGUCCCGUCUUCCCAAAGAUCGAGCCGUCAAGGAACGAUGGGAGAACGAUGUUUUCAGCGCGUCCAAAAGAUUCACCACUAUGUUAAUGAACUGUUAAAAAAAAAAAUUCAAUUUAUUAUCAGUUCCGGAAUAAUUCCUCGUCAACUCUUUCAUCCAUCGAUACUACUUGUCAAGAUGUUGAAAAAUGUCUGGAACAAAUCUUGUGAAAAAUUAAAUUUGCAAUGAAAAGAAGUUCCGCGCAUUUGUCCUCUACCUUAUCUAAUCAAGUUUUGUGAAAUGUUUGAAAUUAUCGCGACGUAUUCGUUUCGAUUAAUUUUUAGUCGCAUCUCUUUGCUAAAAUCUCUUUGCUAAAAUCUCUUUGCUAAAUCUCUGAACUGCGCCACUGAUUCUUGGAGUAAGUACCUGCAUAGGACUUGCAUCGUUGUUGACCUUGUCCAUGCCCUCGCCAUCGGGAUGCUGAGGACCACCAAUCAGAGCGGUGAUCACCCUGAAACCAACAGCGACCAAAUUUGCCCAGGGACUUGUCGGUCAUCGAGGCCAACCUUCUUCAUAGCGUUUGGCUUCUCAGCGAAUUUUCUGUCCUCUCCGUCUUGCUGUUGCACCUGCGGAUACUGAGGAUGCUGGGGCAAGGUAGCCGCUUGCCCCAAAACGAGCAGCGCCAAACAUAACGACACGUACUGAAUGUACUGCAUUCUGAAACAAAAUUCUUCCGUCUUUCUGUCUCCUUUCUUCGAAUUUUAACACUUUACCGGCCGACAGCCUUGUCGAUAGACUUUUUGCUAGGACAAUACUUUGUUAUCUAUUAUUGCGAUAACGUUUUAUGCUCCCGUCGUUGUAUAAAUAAUCAAAUAUUAUAUAAAUAUUAUAGAAAAGAUUCUAAUAGAUGAAAUAAAUAUCGAAUAAUAUUACAUUUGUCAGAAUAAACAAUAAGAUCCAAUUUAAUUGUAUGUCCUUUUGCUACCGGUCGGUAAAGUGUUCAUAACGAAUACUUUUUCCUUAAAUUUUAUCAUAUAAUUCUUUCUUCGAUAAUCCUCUUUAUCGCUCCUUGAUACGAAGCGCUUCAAUAAAAGUUAGUACAGGAGCGAUUCUAUUUAGGUCUCCACUCUGACCUUUGACCUUCUACCAAGAAACGAGGGAAAAUAAAUCAUAGGUCGAUACGCGUGAACGCGUAAACCUGAACGACGUCGCACAUCGCUGAGGAACGACGUCGAGCAAGAGAAAAGUGUGUCGGAGCGGUUAAGGUCACCUUGGCGUCACCAUCUAGCCCACUUCUUGAUCGAACCUGUCGGUUUGUUGAACUCGACUUGUACCGUUACAGGGAAACGCGGUCACGAUCUACUGUCGUCCUCGACGAUGAUCGAACGAUAAAAAAAAGAAGCAAUAUCGUGCAGAUUUGGUACACGUCUCAGUCACCAAAAUUCUUUCGUAACUUAGGAUAGGUCGCGAAGGAGCGGGUUUUAAAACGAAACCAAGCUUUAAAUGUAGAUACUCGACGGGUACGGAGAAAUAUCAAAAUAUCAGAACGAAUAACAAAUAACAUCCAAUUCUUUUUUAUACAUAUGUUUGAAUAUUAUGAUUUCGAAGGUAUGCAACGACUUAUAAAUGGAGUACAUCAUUCUUUUUCCAUUUGUAAUUAUUAGAUCGUGUAUAUUAGGUUUAGAAAUUAAUUCUGUGUUUUUAUAUUCAAUUAUUUAUAAAUCUAGUUCAAGUAGAAAUAAUUACUUGUAUCGUUACAUUGAAAUAAUACCAAUCUUCCAAAUUCUCCACUUAAUCUCCAUGUAUCCAUCUCUACGAUGAACCCAUGUAUUAGGUUGUCCGAAAAGUUUCUUUCGUUUUAUUAAUAAUUAACAUAUACACGAUAUUGUGUGUUUUAUGUUACAUUACUGAAUUGUGCACGAUUCAUUUCGCUUCGUUACCGUUACAGCAUCAAUGUCUAAGAAAUUAGAUUGUCUAUUUAUAUAAACACUGCCACAGAAAACAAUUGAAUGCGACUCGCGAAAGAAACUUUUGGAAUAACCUAAUAGGUACAUGUCCUAAGUCUCAACUUGAUGGCCAUUAGAAUAGAUUAUUGUUUGUCGAACAGAUUACAGGCGUACUCGAUAAUUAAAGUAAUUGUAAGAGUAUAUUAAUAAGCAAAGCUUCGUAGCUACUAAAAUUAGUAGAGAUACAUUAUAGUGACCAUCAGGUUGAGACUUAGAUUACGUGUAUAUGUAGAUACGUUGCAAUAGAGAUCAGAUCGAGGACUUAGAAGGUUGGUGUUCAAGGUUGGUUACGAUUAAAUGUAAUGUAAUUUUACAGUGAACCCUGAGACUCGAAAAUUUUUAAACAAGGCAUCCAUAAAUGUACCCUUUGUUAUUUCCAAUAUCAGAUUCUAGUAGCUUCCCUCCUCUUCUUCUAGAUAGGAAUAAUCGUGGCAGUUAACGUCUUGUUCGUGCUUCUUGAUACCCAAGGAUGAUAAAAGGAUUUUGGAUAAUUACGACAUCGAAUGAUACGAUAAAGCUAGGAAGGGUCGCCAGGCGAGAAAGACUCGCCAGGUGGACUUCCUUGACACUGACUCUCAGCUCUGAAGAUGAAAUUCCUCGCGGGGCCUGCUAUAUAGCUUGCGCAGUCACGUGGGGGGUAGGGCCGCACGGCCAAUGACCAACGUGCCUUUGGCACUAUUUUCAAUGGAACUGACCAAUCUUCCGACGCUGACCGCCGCGGAUCACGAUGAGAAAAUACUAAAUGGAGAGCUUGUCAAAAUGGCAACAAGAAUUCAAUGAUAGCUUUUAGAAUACGGUGGUUUACUUAAGGUCGCGUGUUAAUAUAUCGACAUUUUACCAAAUAAUUUCUUAACCACGAAGUACGAUGCUGCUCGCUAAUGAACGUACAUUCUCGGAUACCGUCAACAUCUGUAAUCAUCGGUGAUGGUAACUAGCGUAACUUUUUCACCCAGUUGAAGAAACGAAUUCCUUCCAGGCGGACUUGCCGAGUUUUAUUGCCACUUCAGGUUCUUCUCCGACGGCACGACCGCGAAUCAUUGGUACUGGUACUAUUUAUACGCAUAUUGUAUAAAUAUGUUUAUUAACACAGAAAAUAUAUAUAAAAUGUUUAUAUUACAUACAAAUAUAUUGAUAUAAUUUAUUAACUUAUAAAAUGAAUUUCAUACAUUCAUAUAAACAUUAUUAUUAUUAAUAUAACAUAAUAUAAAUAUUAAAUAUAUUAGUAUAAAAUGAAGAAGCGAUAUAAAGAAACAAUUUAAAAAAUCAAAUACUUUAAUUAUAAAAUGGUUCAACGGUAAAACUCACAAUGCCAAGAUCCUGCACUCGAGGUGCAGAAAUAUAUAUACAUAUAAAUUUUUUUGAAAAAACGCUUUUCAAAAAUGUUGAAAAUCGUAGUCCUAGUCGUUUCGUAAUUUUAGAGGAAUUUCAACAAGGUAAAACCGUAACUAUCGUUCCAUCGACUCAUCCACCAAUCCCAUGGCCAGAGGCUUUCCUUUUCUUUGCCAAGGACCAUCUUUUACACUCGCCGUCUUAGUGCUCGCGAUUCAUCAUAACUGUUUCGGUAGCGGGAUGCUGCCGCGUGUUCUUAUUAGGAGUAUCGUGCUAAUCAUGCCUCUCAGAAACAACCUGCGCUCCCUGUAAAGCGUAAAUCGAACCAUCGACGAAACGUAUUUAGCGACCUAAUUGGUCGUCCCCUGUCAAUACUCCUAGCGAAUUCCAGCGAGUCGAGCCACUCGUGCGGUAAACGCCGAUAGGCGUUCAGACGCGUGUGUUAAAGAUACGAGCACGGUGAUUCCGCACGGAUGUGUCUGCAUAUGGAUUUUAAUAAUAUUUAGACAAUUUUUUUUUUUUUUUUUUGGAAAUCUAGAAUGAACAUGUUUCAUAAACAGUUUAGAUGAUUGAUACGAAAGUUUUCAAAAUAGUGUUCCACAAGAAUAAAUUGUAUCGAGCAAGUACGAAUCCCUAUGAUAUGCUAAAUCUUACAUAUACUGUCAAGGUAUUUCUUCCAGCAAAUUGAUCCAAAACCAUCUCUCCAUUUACCGGAAGUUUCGUGGUAGCCUGUCGGGACAGUCAUUGACCACGCGACACACUUCGCUAGUCGAAUCGCUAUGCCACGAUACGAUAUUAAAAACCGGUUGUUUACACUCUGCGCAUUCUUGUUUAUAUUUUAAGUACCACGUGCAGUGCAACGUUUUGACGGCAUCGAUUCUCGUUUCUUUGGAUUUCCUCGAGCCGGUGUUUCUCAAAUAUCAUUCACCUGCGAACAGCUUCAAUGGCACUUUUGUGCACAGGGACUGAGCCUAAGAAUUUUUAUUGAAUGGUAAUGUAGCAAAAAAUCCUUUCCUUUGUCCUCUACCAGUAUUGCAUAUAUUGAUAAUCGACGCCUCAGACUUUAAACUCAUCAACACAUUUCGGAUCGCUGUUUCAUAUUAUUUUUUUUUUUUAACGAAAUUUCAGACACAGUAAGAGCAUCGCUAUUGUCCUUUUGGAAUUGUGCAGAAAAUAUAAAAUGAAUGAUUUACAGAAGAGAUCGUUUUACGAUUCUCUUCCUCUUGGACGGAGAGUAAGGAACAUGCACUUUCUUCGCAAGAGAAGACUUUAAGGAAUGAGAUC